rnacentral:lncRNA from 1 species
UGCAGUCGUCGAUGACCGUACGCGUGAAUGGGCAGAGUGUCGAGUAGGAGGCCUCGAAUUGUGUAUGGAUAAUCCCGACAUGGACAUCAGUUGGGGUACCCCUUACUGAUAUCCUCGACAAGUGGAAUAUACUUACCCUGCAUAUAUUGCCGAGUCAAACCCAGGACCAUACUGGAGGGAGUGCGCCAUACCCUUAGAUCAGAAUGUGCAUGUGUGCAGAAUUUUUGGUGGAAGUCCUAAUUCUAAAUAUUCUGGGUCACUCCUUGCAACAUGACUCUCUUUUACUGAAAAGGAAAUGGGCGAAUUUUUUUUGAACGGGUAUGGAUUUUCCCGUUUGCCUUUUGGCUUUUCUCAUAUUUUUUUCUUCUUUUUUUCGAAUAGCCCAUUCCAUUGUUGCUGACGAAAUGUUGAUGCAAAAGUGGAUCUGCAAACACAAAGGGCUAAUACUCGAUUCAACGUUAAGGCGUGCCAGCCGAUUUGACCUUACAAUCGACAAAGGUGAUAACUCGAAUACUUUGGUCCCGACAACAGCGAUGCGCCCGGAUGCCACGGCCAAGAGGUAUUCACGCAGAACUUGAGAACUCGCUGAGUUUGACUCGAUGAAUUCCUAAGAACUCGUAAGUAAAAAGAAAAUAUGUAAGGUGACGAAGUCGUCGAAAAGUAGAUGCUAGAAUAGAUGUAAAAACUUGUGUUUGAUUGAUUGUGUAUAUUCUUACAUUGCUAC